CGUGUGUAACAGGGUUAAAAAGAGUACUUAAUUUAAGAGUUUUGAUGUGUGAAUUUCAUAAAAUAAGCAUUUGGUUAAAUUCAUUGGUGUUCAAAGGCUCCCCUCCUGUGGCUAUUAAUGGUACUGCAGACAGUGUAUUUUGUCGCUCUUCUCUUGCCGUACUCCAGCAGAUUUGAGUGUCGCUGCUGUGGUCUUGAAUGUCUGCAGUAGUUUAUCUUCAGCCAAAGUGAUUUGUGCCAUUUUAUUUCCAAAAGAUAAAGGCAAGCACAAGGAAACCCACGUGUGAGUGUGUUUGUUCACGUCUGUUACACGUGUGAGGGGCGAAGACGCGCCGCUGAGCGUCAGACGCGCUUGAGGACCAAAAACAGCAGAACGGUGGAAACUUCACACCUCUUAUUAUUUCUCUUUUACAAUAGCGAUUUAUUUUUAGAUACGUGAUCUGAGUCUUUCAUAGAGUUGUAGAGUUAUUAGAUAAACAGUUAUUUUUUACAUUCCUUGGUUGAAGUUUUCA